rnacentral:rRNA from 1 species
UACGUAGGGGGCAAGCGUUGUCCGGAAUCAUUGGGCGUAAAGCGCGCGUAGGCGGCCCUGUAAGUCCGUUGUGAAAGUCAAAGGCUCAACCUUUGAAAGCCGAUGGAUACUGUCGGGCUAGAGUCCGGAAGAGGCGAGUGGAAUUCCCGGUGUAGCGGUGAAAUGCGCAGAUAUCGGGAGGAACACCUAUGGCGAAGGCGGCUUACGUGG